UACGGGGGGAGCAAGCGUUGUUCGGAUUUACUGGGCGUAAAGGGCGCGUAGGCGGUCAGCACAAGUCAGUUGUGAAAUCUCCGAGCUUAACUCGGAAAGGUCAACUGAUACUGUGCGACUAGAGUGCAGAAGGGGCAACUGGAAUUCUUGGUGUAGCGGUGAAAUGCGUAGAUAUCAAGAGGAACACCUGCGGCGAAGGCGGGUUGCUGGGCUGACACUGACGCUGAAGCGCGAAAGCCAGGGGAGCGAAUAGG
rnacentral:rRNA from 1 species